rnacentral:rRNA from 1 species
UGUGCCCUACGGGGGGCAGCAGUGAGGAAUAUUGGUCAAUGGGCGCAAGCCUGAACCAGCCAAGUCGCGUGAGGGAUGACGGUCCUAUGGAUUGUAAACCUCUUUUGUCGGGGAGCAAGGCGAGUCACGUGUGACUCAUUGAGAGUACCCGAAGAAAAAGCAUCGGCUAACUCCGUGCCAGCAGCCGCGGUAAUACGGAGGAUGCGAGCGUUAUCCGGAUUUAUUGGGUUUAAAGGGUGCGCAGGCGGAGGUGCAAGUCAGCGGUCAAAUUGCGGGGCUCAACCCCGUACUGCCGUUGAAACUGC